UUUUGGGAAAGCUCUUUGAGAAGAGAGGUAGGUGGGGGAUGAUGGAUACGACUUUGCCCUCAUCCUUUUAGGGCGUGACGCAUUGAUAGCAUCACAGAAGCAACCUCAGCCCCCAGAGUGGCCUUGAAGAACACGGAUUUGUCGCUGUUCGUGAUGAUUCCUUUUCUCCUUCCCUGACUUGUUUAGUCUGGGUUCUGACCCCUGGUGAUCCCCUAUGGUGGUCAGGUGAGGACUGCUAUCCCCAUUGUACUGAUGAAGAAGUAGACCUGUGCAGAGGUGAAUGAUGAGCCAACCAAUCGCCAUCUGUCCAUGACCUUGUAGCAUUUUCUGUCAUCAGUCCCAGUAGGAGUGUCCGAGCUUAUGGUGGGUAGGACAGACAGGCCGUCCUGAGUAAGCCAGUGUUCCAGAAGCAGAGAGAAGCUCAGUGUCUUGGUUGACAUGACUGUGCUGGAAGCAAAAAUAAGACUCUGGGCCUCUUGACUGCCUGUCCUUUCUUCUCCUCUUUUCUCUUCUUACUUCCAAAGCCCUAGGUGAUGUUGGUUGAUGCCUCCUCUCAUCAUAGAAUACAGGUAGAGUCAUCCUUCCUUUUCUCUCCAGGAAAUACGCCCAUCUAAUCCUCUGCUGUAUCCCAUUGCCUGGAACUGUGUCUG